GAAGUACUCCCUCCAUCCAGAAUUACUUGUCAUCAAAAUGGAUGUGUCUAGAACUAAAAUACAUCUAGAUACAUCCAUUUCAAUGACAAAUAUUUUCGGACGGAGGGAGUACAAG
rnacentral:pre_miRNA from 1 species